rnacentral:rRNA from 1 species
GUGUCAGCAGCCGCGGUAAUACAGAGGGUGCGAGCGUUGUCCGGAAUCACUGGGCGUAAAGGGCGCGUAGGUGGCGGCCCAAGUCCAUGGUGAAAGCUCGCCGCUUAACGGCGAGUCGGCCACGGAUACUGGGUUGCUCGAGCACUGUAGGGGCAGAUGGAAUUCCGGGUGUAGCGGUGGAAUGCGUAGAGAUCCGGAAGAACACCAGUGGCGAAGGCGGUCUGCUGGGCAGUUGCUGACACUGAUGCGCGACAGCGUGGGGAGCAAACAGGAUUAGAAACCCCAGUAGUCC